UUCUCCGCUGCCCGGGGGGUCAUCAGUGGCCCCGCAAUUAAAAACUAAUUGCAUUGCGCGCCCCCUCUUUCUCCCCCCUCUCCGCCCCCCCGGUGUUUGCGGCGGCGCGGGGAUGCUGCACCUCUGCGGGAGCGGGGAACCUGUUGGAAUCUGAGUGGAACUUGCGCGACGCUUCGCUCUCCCUCUCUCGCUCCCUUCUUCCUCGCUUCCCACCCCUCUCUCUCCUUCCUCUCCUCUCUCCCCCGGUGCCCCCUGCCGCAGCCGCGCCCCCCGCCCAGCUGGGCGCGCUCGGGGCGAUCGCCCGGUUCGGGCGCUGUGGCUGGAAUGGGCGCUAGUUAAAUGUGGAAAACGAGGCCCCCCGAGCGGGGCCGGUUGGGUUCUCUCCGCGGCACCCUCGGGCUGCGGUGUCCCCCGAGCGUUGGGCGAUCCCCCCACCCCGCCUGCCUUCGCUCCCCGCCGAGCCGGGAGCCGCAGCAGCGACCUGCGCUCGUGUCCGGUGGCUUCGGUUCGAGCAUCCCCCGUUAACGCCGCUCACGUUUCCAGUAUGUCCGUGGGGCGGCACGGUGCCACACGGCCGUAGGAGCGGUGCUGUGUCCGGGAUGUUUGGGAAGAACAAGAGGCCAUUGAACGAUCUGUUGAAUCCCGCUCGUAGGAAAGGGGGGACGAAGGGGCCGCCAGCCCGGCGAACAAAGAGCUUUAUUCACAGCCUGUGUACAUGUCCAUGCCUUCCCCGCUCUUCCCGGGCGGCCUUUUUGGUGGGGUGGUGGUGAGGGGAGAGCGCCGGGGUCGUUUUCAGCUUGUUCUCCCUGCGAACGGGGCCGGGGCUGGUGCCCGCCCGCCGGCUCCGACGAGGGCUGCGCCUCCCGCCUGCGCUCGGUCGCGCUGGGCAGCCCCGAAGGGCGACCCGGCCCCGAUGCCGGCGCUCCGCGGCCCCGAGCCCGUUCCGGGGAGCCAGAGCGAAAGAAAGGAGCCCCCGCGGCGGCUCUUGGCGCUGCGAGCCGGGGAAACGCUCCGCUCCGGCUCCCCCGCGCCCGGGCUUCCUGCGGUCGCUGUGUUGGAGCUUCUCAGAUGUCUCGUCACAAGGUGCUGUUUGUGUGUUCGGUGCUUUUCGCUGCCUGGUGAGUCUCCCGCCGGUGUGACCUGGGGACUCUGGCACUGAGAAACUCCCAGGUUGGGAAUACGAGCCCGGCUCCUGGACGGCCGCGUUCAUCCUUUGUUUUGCUGUCUUGCUCACCUCAGAUUCUCUAAGAGCAGUUUUUAACUGGAGGCCAGAGUGAUCCCCCGGCAGGCUCAGCCUGUUCGCCGCUGCCCAACCAGCGGGUGGAACUGUGAUUUGGGAUCGCAGAGCUGCUGAAGGGAAACUAAAGCAGGGCUGGAUGCUGGCUCGCAGUGGCUGUGCCUGACCCGAGUACCGGGGUGAGAAGCACUGUGCAGCGUGAGCUGAGGUUGUGGUAAGACAGAUAUUUUGUGGUUGUGGUGCUGUGUUGUGAAUUGCAGGAUAAAAUCCCAGUCUGUCUGCGUUUAGGCAAAAUUUCCUUACAGUUUAGAACCUUUUUUUCCUUUUUUCCCCCCAUUCUCCCCCUUUUCCAAGCUAACAGUGUUAGCCUCAGUGUUCUUCGAAGAGAGAAUUAUUGUGAGGCAGCAGCGUCAGUGCUGAGCGCAGAGUGCUGUCGCUGUGUCUCCCGCACGGCUGCCACCCGAGGCACAACGGUGCCAGCGCUGUGUCACCGCCGUGGUGGCACCCCAUGAUGCAGAGUGAGGCUCAGGGUUCUGCUGCCUCCCUUCACCGAGGCGACUGGAACGGCAGCAGGCAGCAGCGAGGCUCGGUUUGGGAUGAGCCUGUGCGAUCAGGUGGAUCCGUGUGUCUGUGUUCCUCUCCAGCCUCUCUCGAUGCUCUGCGAUUCGUGGCGCUCCUGAUGCCCCUGUGCAGCAGGGCGAGGGCUGAGGAGCGCUCUCGGCUCACUCUGAGGCGCUUGGGCAGCGCUGGGCUGGAACUCGGAGUCUGUCAGCGCUGGCACUCGGCACUUCAGGGAGAGCAACUUUCCAGCAGGAGCCUCAGGAGGUGUUUGGAGACGGCGUUGGCGUGGAGCCGUGACCGGGCCAUGGCACGGAGCUGCGAGGGGCUGGCCAGGGCUGGCUGUGGCUGCAGCCUCCGUGUCUGCCGACACCAAACCGGCCCGGGAGAAGCCCCCCAUGAAGGCAGCGAGCGCUCCCAGCGCGGCUGCGCUGAGCCAGGCUCCUUUGUAAACACAGAGCAGUUGAGCCCAGGUUUAUAAGCACGACAGUCUGGUUUGAAACUACUGCCAAGGAGGCUCCUGAGGAUGGGAAGGCGAGGAGAUCGCUCUGCUCCGUGCGCGCUCCGCUCUGAGGAGGGGGCGGCUGUCAGCACUGUCUGCAGGAUGGACAUGCCCAGGUGGACUCUGUUGGAUGGACGCCGCCGGAUGGGCGCUGCCGGUGUCCCUGGGCACGGGUGGCCGCCGUUGGUGGCUGAGGUGGCUGCGGUGACAAGAGGCCAGAGAAGAGCCGUGCUCCCCGGGGACCCCGGCCAUACCAGCGGCCGUUGUGCUGAUGCUGCGCUGCCGCCGCCUUUGUUUGCCUUGCGCUGUCUUUCCUGGUGUGUAAAUAAAGAAGGCUUUGUAAUCAAA